AUGAGAUUUCGCAAUUCUUGUACGUUUUUGUUGUACAUGCUCGGGGACAAUGGGAAAUGAUGAUAUAUCAUUAACUUAUCAAAACUUGCACGAUUCUUUGCUUAUCAACGAGGCGAUUGAUUAGAUAAGUCGGAUGCAUAACUGAUUGAUAAAUAUUAUAAAGGUAUGUACAUUGCAUGUACUUUGUUAACGCACUGAAAAAUAAUAUUAAUAUCAUGUGAAAUUACGUUAAUCUCGAAGAGAGCGAUACAUCAAGAAAUGUUUUCAAGAUAGCAUAUUCAAAUGGAUCAACCAAUAAAUAUCGAAGUGUCCAUCCAUCAACUAGAAAUUAUGUGAUAUACUGGAUAACAUGAUUGAUGAGUCAGAUUUGAGUUCCAAAGUUCCCGCACGUUCGAGUGAGACAUACUUCCAUCGAUCCAUCGCAGAAUUGCGGCGACGAGUCAGCUGACAAGUAUCAUCCGUUAGUUAAAAAUUUUAUUGCGAUCAUAUGAAUCAAGCAACAUAAACAAAUAAAUUACAGCUUGUAGUUUCAUGAUAUUUCGCGAAAUUUUUGAUAAUUUCAAAAAGGAUAAAAUGUAUGAGCGAGCGGUCCAUAGAGAGAAGAUCACGCUUGCUAAACGAAGAUCCCAAUGAUGACCGCGCGAAUCUGACUGCAGAAUGACGGAAUCGCGAUUUAUACCUGCGUUACGCAAUAGAUUACUGUAUAUUUCCAGCGAUUUCGCAGAUGAUCGCGCGCAUGAUUCAACGGUUCGAGCGUCCUCGAACUUUCAUCGAGCGGGACGUCGCGUGCGAGCGAAUCGACCGACGAAGGAUUCGCGUUUGUCGUUCCGAGACAAUUCGCGGACGUCCCGGGGUGUCGAGGUUGAUGGUGUGCCGAAGGAGUGGAUGUCGUCGCGUCUGCACGCGGGACAACGUCGCGACGAAGAGAGGACUUCGCCGUUUCACGCGGCACUGAGAAGAAUCGCCGCCGGCUCAUUCAUCGCUGGCGCCCCGCGAACGCACCCUCCACUCACCCCCUGAACAAACGGCGUCGCGCAGGCGUUGCAUCCGCGGCCCCUUUGGUGCACGUCUCUUUGGUCCCUUGGUGGCGUCGCGACGCGUCCGUCGCGUCGUCGCGGAGGAGAAGCAACCA